rnacentral:snRNA from 1 species
GUGCUCGCUUCGGCAGCACAUGUACUAAAAUUGGAACGAUACAGAGAAGAUUAGCAUGGCCCCUGUGCAAGGAUGACAGGCAAAUUCAUGAAGUGUUCCUUAUUUGG